rnacentral:rRNA from 1 species
AACGAACGCUGGCGGCAGGCCUAACACAUGCAAGUCGAACGCUGUAGUAAUACAGAGUGGCAGACGGGUGAGUAACACGUGGGAAUCUUCCUAUCGGUACGGAAUAGCUCAGGGAAACUUGGGGUAAUACCGCUUACGCCCUUCGGGGGAAAGAUUUAUCGCCGAUAGAUGAGCCCGCGUCUGAUUAGCUAGUUGGUGAGGUAAUGGCUCACCAAGGCGACGAUCAGUAGCUGGUCUGAGAGGAUGACCAGCCACACUGGGACUGAGACGCGGCCCAGACUCCUACGGGCGGCAGCAGUGGGGAAUAUUGGACAAUGGGCGCAGGCCUGAUCCAGCCAUGCCGCGUGAGUGACGAAGGUCUUCGGAUUGUAAAGCUCUUUUGGCGGGGACGAUAAUGACGGUACCCGCAGAAUAAGCCCCGGCUAACUUCGUGCCAGCCGCCGCGGUAA